rnacentral:rRNA from 1 species
UACAGAGGGUGCGAGCGUUAAUCGGAAUUACUGGGCGUAAAGCGUGCGUAGACGGUUAUUUAAGUCGGUUGUGAAAGCCCCGGGCUCAACCUGGGAACUGCAUUUGUGACUGCAUCGCUGGAGUGCGGCAGAGGGGGAUGGAAUUCCGCGUGUAGCAGUGAAAUGCGUAGAUAUGCGGAGGAACGCCGAUGGCGAAGGCAAUCCCCUGGGCCUGUACUGACGCUCAUGCACGAAAGCGUGGGGAGCAAACAGG